rnacentral:rRNA from 1 species
CCUACGGGAGGCAGCAGUGAGGAAUAUUGGUCAAUGGGCGGAAGCCUGAACCAGCCAAGUCGCGUGAGGGAAUAAGGCCCUACGGGUCGUAAACCUCUUUUGCCGGGGAGCAAGGGCCGGGACGAGUCCCGGUCCGGAGAGUACCCGGAGGAAAAGCAUCGGCUAACUCCGUGUCAGCAGCCGCGGUAAUACGGAGGAUGCGAGCUUUAUCCGGAUUUAUUGGGUUUAAAGGGGGCGUAGGCGGGCUUUUAAGUCAGCGGUAAAAAUUCGGGGCUCAACCCCGUCCGGCCGUUGAAACUGGGGGCCUUGAGUGGGCGAGAAGAAGGCGGAAUGCGUGGUGUAGCGGUGAAAUGCAUAGAUAUCACGCAGAACCCCGAUUGCGAAGGCAGCCGUCCGGCGCCCUACUGACGCUGAGGCACGAAAGUGCGGGGAUCGAACAGGAUUAGAUACCCCGGUAGUC